rnacentral:rRNA from 1 species
GAUGAACGCUGGCGGCGUGCCUAAUACAUGCAAGUCGAACGAAACUUCUUUAUCACCGAGUGCUUGCACUCACCGAUAAAGAGUUGAGUGGCGAACGGGUGAGUAACACGUGGGCAACCUGCCCAAAAGAGGGGGAUAACACUUGGAAACAGGUGCUAAUACCGCAUAACCAUAGUUACCGCAUGGUAACUAUGUAAAAGGUGGCUAUACUACCGCUUUUGGAUGGGCCCGCGGCGCAUUAGCUAGUUGGUAGGGUAAAGGCUUACCAAGGCAAUGAUGCGUAGCCGAAUUGAGAGGUUGAUCGGCCACAUUGGGACUGAGACACGGCCCAAACUCCUACGGGAGGCAGCAGUAGGGAGUCUUCCACAAUGGGCGAAAGCCUGAUGGAGCAACGCCGCGUGGGUGAAGAAGGUCUUCGGAUCGUAAAACCCUGUUGUUAGAGAAGAAAGUGCGUGAGAGUAACUGUUCACGUUUCGACGGUAUCUAACCAGAAAGCCACGGCUAACUACGUG